GGCGCAGGUGGUUGUAUAAGUCUGAAGUAAAAGGCAGUGGCUCAACCAUUGUGUGCUUUGGAAACUGUACAACUUGAGUGCAGAAGGGGAGAGUGGAAUUCCAUGUGUAGCGGUGAAAUGCGUAGAUAUAUGGAGGAACACCGGUAGCGAAAGCGGCUCUCUGGUCUGUAACUGACACUGAGGCUCGAAAGCGUGGGGAGCAAACA
rnacentral:rRNA from 1 species